rnacentral:rRNA from 1 species
CCUACGGGAGGCAGCAGUGCGGAAUAUUGGUCAAUGGACGCAAGUCUGAACCAGCCAUGCCGCGUGCAGGAAGACGGCUCUAUGAGUUGUAAACUGCUUUUGUACGAGGGUAAACGCAGAUUCGCGUAUCUGUCUGAAAGUAUCGUACGAAUAAGGAUCGGCUAACUCCGUGCCAGCAGCCGCGGUAAUACGGAGGAUUCAAGCGUUAUCCGGAUUUAUUGGGUUUAAAGGGUGCGUAGGCGGUCGGAUAAGUUAGAGGUGAAAUCCCGAGGCUCAACUUCGGAAUUGCCUCUGAUACUGUUCGGCGAGAGAGUAGUUGCGGUAGGCGGAAUGUAUGGUGUAGCGGUGAAAUGCUUAGAGAUCAUACAGAACACCGAUUGCGAAGGCAGCUUACCAAGCUACUUCUGACGUUGAGGCACGAAAGCGUGGGGAGCAAACAGGAGUAGAUACCCUAGUAGUC